rnacentral:rRNA from 1 species
GAUGAACGCUGGCGGCGUGCCUAAUACAUGCAAGUCGAGCGAACGGACGAGAAGCUUGCUUCUCUGAUGUUAGCGGCGGACGGGUGAGUAACACGUGGAUAACCUACCUAUAAGACUGGGAUAACUUCGGGAAACCGGAGCUAAUACCGGAUAAUAUUUUGAACCGCAUGGUUCAAAAGUGAAAGACGGUCUUGCUGUCACUUAUAGAUGGAUCCGCGCUGCAUUAGCUAGUUGGUAAGGUAACGGCUUACCAGGCAACGAUGCAUAGCCGACCUGAGAGGGUGAUCGGCCACACUGGAACUGAGACACGGUCCAGACUCCUACGGGAGGCAGCAGUAGGGAAUCUUCCGCAAUGGGCGAAAGCCUGACGGAGCAACGCCGCGUGAGUGAUGAAGGUCUUCGGAUCGUAAAACUCUGUUAUUAGGGAAGAACAUAUGUGUAAGUAACUGUGCACAUCUUGACGGUACCUAAUCAGAAAGCCACGGCUAACUACGUG